rnacentral:rRNA from 1 species
UACGUAGGGGGGCGAGCGUUGUCCGAAGUUACUGGGCGUAAAGCGCGCGUAGGCGGCCCGGUAAGUCCGCUGUAAAAGUCCAGGCUCAACCCUGGAAAGCCGGUGGAUACUGUCGGGCUCGAGUCCGGAAGAGGCGAGUGGAAUUCCUGGUGUAGCGGUGGAAUGCGUAGAUAUCUGGAGGAACACCGGUGGCGAAGGCGGCAUCCUGGACCGGCAUUGACGCUGAGGCGCGAAAGCUAGGGGGAGCAAACGGGG